rnacentral:rRNA from 2 species
GGGUUGUGAGGUUAAGCGACUAAGCGUACACGGUGGAUGCCCUGGCAGUCAGAGGCGAUGAAGGACGUGCUAAUCUGCGAUAAGCGCCGGUAAGGUGAUAUGAACCGUUAUAACCGGCGAUUUCCGAAUGGGGAAACCCAGUGUGAUUCGUCACACUAUCAUUAACUGAAUCCAUAGGUUAAUGAGGCGAACCGGGGGAACUGAAACAUCUAAGUACCCGAGGAAAAGAAAUCAACCGAGAUUCCCCAGUAGCGGCGAGCGAACGGGGAGGAGCCCAGAGCCUGAAUCAGCAUGUGUGUUAGUGGAAGCGUCUGGAAAGGCGCGCGAUACAGGGUGACAGCCCCGUACACAAAAGCGCAUGUGCUGUGAGCUCGAUGAGUAGGGCGGGACACGUGGUAUCCUGUCUGAAUAUGGGGGGACCAUCCUCCAAGGCUAAAUACUCCUGACUGACCGAUAGUGAACCAGUACCGUGAGGGAAAGGCGAAAAGAACCCCGGCGAGGGGAGUGAAAAAGAACCUGAAACCGUGUACGUACAAGCAGUGGGAGCACCCUUCGGGGUGUGACUGCGUACCUUUUGUAUAAUGGGUCAGCGACUUAUAUUCUGUAGCAAGGUUAACCGUAUAGGGGAGCCGGAGGGAAACCGAGUCUUAACCGGGCGUUAAGUUGCAGGGUAUAGACCCGAAACCCGGUGAUCUAGCCAUGGGCAGGUUGAAGGUUGGGUAACACUAACUGGAGGACCGAACCGACUAAUGUUGAAAAAUUAGCGGAUGACCUGUGGCUGGGGGUGAAAGGCCAAUCAAACCGGGAGAUAGCUGGUUCUCCCCGAAAGCUAUUUAGGUAGCGCCUCGUGAAUUCAUCUCCGGGGGUAGAGCACUGUUUCGGCUAGGGGGCCAUCCCGGCUUACCAACCCGAUGCAAACUGCGAAUACCGGAGAAUGUUAUCACGGGAGACACACGGCGGGUGCUAACGUCCGUCGUGAAGAGGGAAACAACCCAGACCGCCAGCUAAGGUCCCAAAGUCAUGGUUAAGUGGGAAACGAUGUGGGAAGGCCCAGACAGCCAGGAUGUUGGCUUAGAAGCAGCCAUCAUUUAAAGAAAGCGUAAUAGCUCACUGGUCGAGUCGGCCUGCGCGGAAGAUGUAACGGGGCUAAACCAUGCACCGAAGCUGCGGCAGCGAACGUAUCACCCAAGACAACUUUACGGAGUUGACGAUUGACGGAGCGAAGCGACGUCAAAGCGUUCAUUAAAGUCGAGUUGGCUUAGGGAUACGUUCGUUGGGUAGGGGAGCGUUCUGUAAGCCUGUGAAGGUGUGUCGUGAGGCAUGCUGGAGGUAUCAGAAGUGCGAAUGCUGACAUAAGUAACGAUAAAGCGGGUGAAAAGCCCGCUCGCCGGAAGACCAAGGGUUCCUGUCCAACGUUAAUCGGGGCAGGGUGAGUCGACCCCUAAGGCGAGGCCGAAAGGCGUAGUCGAUGGGAAACGGGUUAAUAUUCCCGUACUUGGUGUUACUGCGAAGGGGGGACGGAGAAGGCUAUGUUGGCCGGGCGACGGUUGUCCCGGUUUAAGCGUGUAGGUGUGUGUUCCAGGUAAAUCCGGUUCACUUUAACACUGAGGCGUGACGACGAGGCACUACGGUGCUGAAGCAACAAAUGCCCUGCUUCCAGGAAAAGCCUCUAAGCAUCAGGUAACACGAAAUCGUACCCCAAACCGACACAGGUGGUCAGGUAGAGAAUACCAAGGCGCUUGAGAGAACUCGGGUGAAGGAACUAGGCAAAAUGGUGCCGUAACUUCGGGAGAAGGCACGCUGACACGUAGGUGAAGUGAUUUACUCAUGGAGCUGAAGUCAGUCGAAGAUACCAGCUGGCUGCAACUGUUUAUUAAAAACACAGCACUGUGCAAACACGAAAGUGGACGUAUACGGUGUGACGCCUGCCCGGUGCCGGAAGGUUAAUUGAUGGGGUCAGCGCAAGCGAAGCUCCUGAUCGAAGCCCCGGUAAACGGCGGCCGUAACUAUAACGGUCCUAAGGUAGCGAAAUUCCUUGUCGGGUAAGUUCCGACCUGCACGAAUGGCGUAAUGAUGGCCAGGCUGUCUCCACCCGAGACUCAGUGAAAUUGAACUCGCUGUGAAGAUGCAGUGUACCCGCGGCAAGACGGAAAGACCCCGUGAACCUUUACUAUAGCUUGACACUGAACAUUGAGCCUUGAUGUGUAGGAUAGGUGGGAGGCUUUGAAGUGUGGACGCCAGUCUGCAUGGAGCCGACCUUGAAAUACCACCCUUUAAUGUUUGAUGUUCUAACGUGGACCCGUAAUCCGGGUUGCGGACAGUGUCUGGUGGGUAGUUUGACUGGGGCGGUCUCCUCCUAAAGAGUAACGGAGGAGCACGAAGGUUGGCUAAUCCUGGUCGGACAUCAGGAGGUUAGUGCAAUGGCAUAAGCCAGCUUGACUGCGAGCGUGACGGCGCGAGCAGGUGCGAAAGCAGGUCAUAGUGAUCCGGUGGUUCUGAAUGGAAGGGCCAUCGCUCAACGGAUAAAAGGUACUCCGGGGAUAACAGGCUGAUACCGCCCAAGAGUUCAUAUCGACGGCGGUGUUUGGCACCUCGAUGUCGGCUCAUCACAUCCUGGGGCUGAAGUAGGUCCCAAGGGUAUGGCUGUUCGCCAUUUAAAGUGGUACGCGAGCUGGGUUUAGAACGUCGUGAGACAGUUCGGUCCCUAUCUGCCGUGGGCGCUGGAGAACUGAGGGGGGCUGCUCCUAGUACGAGAGGACCGGAGUGGACGCAUCACUGGUGUUCGGGUUGUCAUGCCAAUGGCACUGCCCGGUAGCUAAAUGCGGAAGAGAUAAGUGCUGAAAGCAUCUAAGCACGAAACUUGCCCCGAGAUGAGUUCUCCCUGAGACUUAGAGUCUCCUGAAGGAACGUUGAAGACGACGACGUUGAUAGGCCGGGUGUGUAAGCGCAGCGAUGCGUUGAGCUAACCGGUACUAAUGAACCGUGAGGCUUAACCUUACAACGCCGAAG